GUCAUUUUGAUGGUCGUAAAUUUCUUUAGCAUACUCAUUUUUAUAUAUUUUUAGACUGCUUACCGUUUGACUCCUGUCUCUAUCUAACCUAGUGGGUUCAAAAAGAAAGGACCGCGCUGGAAACAUGAGGGGGUUAAAAGGAUCAGCUCUUUUUGAAUUAUUAGUCAAAGUUGUAACCAGCUCGUAUGAAAGGAGUUCUCGACGUGAAAUAGUUAAUUUUAUUCAACAAUGCCAAGAAACAGAGCUCGCUCAAGAAACA